rnacentral:rRNA from 1 species
AUUGAACGCUGGCGGCAGGCCUAACACAUGCAAGUCGAGCGGUAGAGAGAAGCUUGCUUCUCUUGAGAGCGGCGGACGGGUGAGUAAAGCCUAGGAAUCUGCCUGGUAGUGGGGGAUAACGUUCGGAAACGGACGCUAAUACCGCAUACGUCCUACGGGAGAAAGCAGGGGACCUUCGGGCCUUGCGCUAUCAGAUGAGCCUAGGUCGGAUUAGCUAGUUGGUGAGGUAAUGGCUCACCAAGGCGACGAUCCGUAACUGGUCUGAGAGGAUGACCAGUCACACUGGAACGGAGACACGGUCCAGACUCCUACGGGAGGAAGCAGUGGGGAAUAUUGGACAAUGGGCGAAAGCCUGAUUCAGCCAUGCCGCGUGUGUGAAGAAGGUCUUCGGAUUGUAAAGCACUUUAAGUUGGGAGGAAGGGCAUUAACCUAAUACGUUAGUGUUUUGACGUUACCGACAGAAUAAGCACCGGCUAACUCUGUGCCAGCAGCCGCGGUAA